GUGGGGAAUUUUGGACAAUGGGGGCAACCCUGAUCCAGCCAUCCCGCGUGUGCGAUGAAGGCCUUCGGGUUGUAAAGCACUUUUGGCAGGGAAGAAAAGGCGCCGGCUAACACCUGGCGCUGCUGACGGUACCUGCAGAAUAAGCACCGGCUAACUACGUGCCAGCAGCCGCGGUAAUACGUAGGGUGCAAGCGUUAAUCGGAAUUACUGGGCGUAAAGCGUGCGCAGGCGGUUCGGAAAGAAAGAUGUGAAAUCCCAGGGCUUAACCUUGGAACUGCAUUGUUAACUGCCGGGCUAGAGUAUGUCAGAGGGGGGUAGAAUUCCACGUGUAGCAGUGAAAUGCGUAGAGAUGUGGAGGAAUACCGAUGGCGAAGGCAGCCCCCUGGGAUGAUACUGACGCUCAUGCACGAAAGCGUGGGGAGUAAACAGGAUUAGAUACCCUAGUAGUCC
rnacentral:rRNA from 1 species